GCCUGGUCGGUGAGUUCGGGCCCGGGCCGGGCCUUGGGCGGCGGGUACGGGCCUGGGUGGGCCCGGCUCCGGGGCAGCGGUUGCUGGGGAGGCAGCGGAGCCGGAGAGAGGCCUGCUGGGCCGGGGUCGCGUAGGAAAUUUGGUUCCGGUCCUCGGUUCCGGAACUGGCUGCCCCACUGCAGAAAUGCCGCCAGAGAAGGAGAGCAGAUCCCGUCGGCGAGAGCGGGACCUUUCUCCUUCCCAGUGGGAUUGGGACUGCCCCGCCACGCGACGCCGGCUGGAAGAGCUGUAUUUCCGCGAGCAGGAUUACAUCGGAGCCGGCUCCGAGGAUGGCCGCAAUUUCUGGCUUUUCUUUGAGCGGCUCCGGCGUUUCCAGAGCCGGAGAACCGACCACGAACCAACCCCCGGCCACCACGACCAGGCAGAACCCCCCGCCGCCGCCCGUCGCCUCGAUUUACCGCGCCGAUAUGAUCCCCGGUACCGCAUCAACCUCUCGGUGCUGAGCGCCGACAUGGAGGGAGCGAUCCGAGGCCGGCGAGGAGACUCCGGCGUGCCGCAGGAACGCCUCUCUGAAUUUCGCACCGCUUUGUUGCACUACCUGGACUUCACCCAAAAACAAAGCUUUGCCAAACUGGCCAAACUCCAACGGGAACGAGCUGCGCUUCCCAUCUCUCAGUACCGGGACCGGCUCCUGCGCGCCGUGGCUCAAAACCAAGUGGUGGUGAUCGCCGGUGAUACCGGCUGCGGUAAAUCCACGCAGGUGCCUCAGUUCUUGCUGGCGGCCGGUUAUAGCCACGUGGCUUGUACCCAACCUCGCCGUAUCGCCUGCAUCUCGCUGGCCAAGCGGGUGGGUUUCGAGAGCCUGCACCAGUAUGGAAACCAGGUGGGCUACCAGAUCCGCUUCGAGAGCACCCGCUCGCCCGCCACCAAGAUUGUUUUCCUGACGGAGGGGCUGCUGCUGCGGCAGGUACAGCGGGAGCCGACGUUGCCCGGGUACCACGUCCUGAUUGCUGAUGAGGUUCACGAGCGGCAUCUGCACAGCGAUUUCCUCUUGGGUGUCCUGCGGCGGCUCCUUCCCGCUCGGCCGGACCUUAAGUUGGUGCUGAUGUCGGCGACCAUCAAUAUCCGCCUUUUUUCAGGGUACUUUGGAGGUGCCCCAGUGCUGCAGGUGCCGGGAAGGAUCUUUCCCAUCUCGGUCAUUUACCAACCCAUCCCUAAGGAAGAAGCAUCCGCGAUCGGGAAAUCGGGGAAAUCGGAGCGCCUGGAUCCCCUCCCGUACCUGCGGGUGCUUCAAGCCAUCGACCACAAGUACCCGCCGGAGGAACGCGGGGACCUGCUGGUGUUCCUGAGCGGGGUGGCCGAGAUCGGCGCGGUGCUGGAGGCGGCGCAGGCUUAUGCCGCGCAUACGCAGCGUUGGAUUGUGCUCCCCCUGCACAGCACCCUCUCUGUUGCCGAGCAGGACAAGGUGUUUGAUGUGCCUCCUCCCGGCGUCCGUAAGUGCAUCCUCUCCACCAACAUCGCAGAGACCUCGGUGACAAUUGACGGCGUGCGAUUUGUCCUGGAUUCUGGGAAGGUGAAGGAGAUGAGCUACGACCCUCAGGGCAAACUUCAGCGACUGCAGGAGUUCUGGAUCAGCCGGGCAAGCGCCGAGCAGCGGAAAGGACGGGCUGGCAGGACCGGCCCCGGCGUCUGCUACCGGCUUUAUGCCGAAUCCGACUACGACGCCUUUUCCCCCUAUCCCGUGCCGGAGAUCCAGAGGGUAGCGCUUGAUUCUCUAGUGCUCCAGUUAAAGAGCAUGGGGCUGGGUGAUCCCCGGACCUUCCCCUUCCUGGAGCCGCCUCCCUCGUCCAGCCUGGAGACGGCCGUGCGAUACCUGAAGGACCAGGGAGCCCUGGACGAGGCUGAAGACUUGACGCCCAUCGGGAACCUGCUGGCCCAGCUGCCAGUGGACGUGGUGGUCGGCAAGAUGCUGGUCCUGGGUGCGCUGUUUGGACUGGCCGAGCCCACCUUGACCGUGGCGGCGGCGUUGAGCGUGCAAUCCCCUUUCCUGCGACCUGCUCACCCCAACCCCGACUGCGUCACGGCCCGUCGGCCCCUCGAGAGCCCCCAUGGUGACCCUCUGACGCUGCUCAACGUCUUCAACGAGUGGGUCCAGGUGAAAUCAGAACGGAGCGGCAGCUCUCGGAAAUGGUGCCGGCGGCGAGGCUUGGAGGAGCAUCGGCUUUAUGAGGCCGCCGACCUGCGGCGCCAGUUUCAGGAGCUUCUUCGAGACCACCAGCUGCUUGAGGAAACCUCCAGCCGACCCAGCGACAGCUACAGCCGACAGAGCCGGCACCGGGAACGCCGCGAGCUGCACCGGCUGUGGCGUUCCCACGCGGAGACGGAGGGUCGGAAACGCAAAGUGCUGCGGCUGCAGGAUGGAGCGGAUGCCUCUUCCGGUGAGGAGGAGGACGGUGGCACCCGUGGGAAGGGGGAGCGCAGCAUCGAUAUCCAGGAUGUCAAGUUCAAGCUGCGCCACAACGUGGAUGAGCUCCAGGCUGUAUCCAGCUCGUCCCUCUCCUCCUCACAGCUUGCCCUGCUCAAGCUGGUGCUGUGCAGGGGCCUUUACCCCCAGCUGGCCGUGCCCGACCAGCUCAACAGCGGCCGCAAGGACUCCGAUCAGAUUUUCCACACCAAAAACAAGCAAGGCGUCGUGCUUCAUCCCACCUGCGUCUUCGCUACCAGCCCGGAGCUGCUCCACGCCAAGGAGGGACCGGAACGUGGUGGGAUCGCAGACCCCAAAGAGGGGCUGAGCCGCCACCACCAGCUCCUCGCCUUUGUCUCGCUGCUGGAGACCAACAAACCUUACCUGGUGAACUGCGUCCGGGUACCAGCCCUACAGGCUCUCCUGCUCUUCUCCCGUUCGUUGGACACCAGCGCGGACUGCGCCCGGCUGGUAGCGGAUGGAUGGCUGGAGCUCACCAUCCCCGAUGCGGAUUCUGCCCUGCGCCUCCUCUCCAUGGCCCUGCAGCUUCGCUCCUCCUGGGAAAAACUCCUCCACCAGCUACUGGAACGUCGUGGCGAGGAGCCGGGCCUCCGGCCGAGCUCCCGGGAUGUAUCCGUGCUCACCCGGGGGCUGCUGGAAUUCCUGCAGACGGAGGUGCCGUAUCGCCUGCGUCAGCUCACCGGGCUGGAGAAACAGAAUCUCUACAUCGGUCCCCAAACUGUUGCUGCUGCUCCCCAACUCCCAGGGCUUUUCCAGGGAACGGAGAUGAAGCCCGACGAGGUGAAAGGUGGCCACAGGGUGACGGACUUUCUCACCUACAACUGCCUGGCUACGGACACGGAUCUCUACAGCGACUGCCUGCGGAGCUUCUGGACGUGUCCCCACUGCGAUCUCCACAUGCCCUUCACCCCCCUGGAGCGCAUGUGCCAUGAAAACGCUUGCCGGCCCUCCGAGGCCCCCCAGGAAGAAGCAGCCGAAAGCUCGUCCAAAAACUCCUCCCUGCACAGGUCCUACCACUGCGACGUUUGCCAGCAGGAUUUCACCUUCACCCCCACGGAGAUCCUUCGGCACAAGAAGCAACACCGGUGACCGGGGGCUCGUCGGGAUGCUCCCGCCAACCGGUGGCGGAGACGAUGCUGAGCACCAUGACGCUGGGGUCCUUUCCCAGCCCUGGGGAGAAGCGGGGGACCCCCAUAACGGAGGGGGGAACCCCCUUUUGCUGCUACCUGUGUUGCUCUCGGGCUGAAUUUCUGAGCUUCAAAUCCCACCAACCGACCCUCGUGCGUCGCCUUUACUGGAUUAAAAACAAGCCGCUAAUAUCGAGACGGCCGUUUCUUUGGGAGCCAACAACUCUGCAUCAAACCACCUCUUAAAACUCCUUUAAUUAGCGAUGGAAGAAGUUUGCUGACCUAGGGGAAAAAAAAAAAAUAAAAUCACAGGGGCCGAGCGCUCCCAAGGAAAGCGUAAAGCUUAAAUGAAACAAAAAUAAUAAUGAUUAACAAGCAGAUGAGAUUUUUGCCUUUGCAAAUGAGGGCUUCUUCCCAGCGACGGUGAGCAGAGAGGUUGGUUUAUUUUUAAAAUUUAAUCUCAAUUUGCACACACCGAGCAAUUACCCAGCCACCCUCUUCAACCCCGCUGAAUGACCUCAUUUGUUCUUUGCAAUUUUUGGUUGUUAUUAUUUGCCCAGAGGCCGAGGUAAGCGCAUUGGCCUCUAAUGGAAGCCAAUUGCGUGGUGUUUGGGAAUAAUUAAAUUAAUUGUUCGAGAGGUCGAGUGGGAAGGGGAGGAGGGUCUGUACCUAUUAAAAAUGAGUUUGGAGCGGGUAGGAAGAUGCAGGAGUGAAGCUCUGCCGGUUCAGCUCCGAGCCAGCAAACCUCAUCCCAUCCUGCUCCUCCCUCGGCAUCUUUUUGGGGUUCCUGAGAAAUCCCAGUUUAUCCGCAGGAAUCCGUCUUUUCCAGCCUUAAAAUUCAGAGCUGGCAGCCAGAUUUAACAGCAGAAAUUUGUCUUCUCUUCUCCAACCUUAGAAUUUACAGAUUUCCAAGCAGAAAUUCACUCCCCUCCUGUCCUUUAGGUUGUGCGUGCUGGGGAAGUAUAUCGUUAAUAAUUAUAUAAUUAAUGACCCAGUAAUGGGUGGAAAUGCUGACUCGGCAUCCUCCAGAGAUUUAUGGUUUUCCCGUGUGUGAUUUCUCCCCCUGGAUACAACGUGCCUCAGCCUCGGGUGAAAUACCGACCUGAAGGUGGCAAAAAACUCUUCCAGCUAAAUUCUGCCAAUUUUCUGCCGGUAAUGUAAUGGAAGCAGGGAUAUAUAUAUUUUUUUUUUUUUUUUUUAAACUGAGAUCUAAAUAAUUUCCGUAAGAGAAAAGGGAUCUAAGUCAUUUGCCCAUGGAAGAUGCUUUCAAGAGGGAACUUCUCGGCUUCUUCCAUGCUCUUAUGUGUUACUUUACAAUUAUAAGGUGUGAAAUGCGAUUAUAAGGUAAAUAAAUGUCGUGGCAGUCAUGCGACCGCUCGACAUCACUGCCGUGGCAAAGCGGGGAUCCCAAGCUCUCCCCCAAAAGCAAACCAGAGCCAAGAGUUUUGUUAUUCCUACCACUCUGCUUCUUCCGUUCCCAAAUCUGCUGUUUGAUUUGUCCGUUCCAAUAGUUGCCACGGGUUUUUUGCUAAUAAAAAUAUAUAAGAUAUUGGCUAAUGCCGCUCCUUGAGGGACCUUCUGGGUUUGGGCUUUUGGAUGUUGUACAAGACCCAGCCCAGGCAUCUCGUGCUGUUUCGCAGCCUGCAGAGAGCAGCCUUACCUCUUUGAUGGAAAUCUCCAACCUUUCCUCUACUCUUUAUUAAAAUACUGAAAAUCGGGCAAAAUUCAAGCAUCCCGUUCUUUCCCUUAUGCUGUGACCCACCACUGAGAGAUGAAGGCUCCCCAAAGGUCCCAAAAUUGUCUGAUCAAGCAGGAGAUAAAAAAAAAAAUCCUUUUUUUUCUUUCUUGAUCCCUUUGUGCUUUGCGUUGCGUGGAGCGUGAAUAAAAAAAAUCAUGGUUUUCGGGGAAAGAUUAUCACAUUAUCAUGUGAGUGCAGAACUUGGGACUUUAUAAAGCAUCCUGAGACCUAUAGCAAAAUGAUGAGAUUUGGUUCCUGCUCAUGAUCUACUUAUAAGGACUCAAGUGAACGAGCCAAAAAUCACAGGAAACACGGCAGUUUGGGCUAUUUAUGCUAUUUAUUGAGGAUCCAAUCCUCCUGCUAGUAUCAGGACAACCUUUCAGGACCACUGUCUGCUGCUGGAGUCCCUCCUACCCCAUAGACCUUGACGUGUCAACCAUCAGCAACGUCAUACCUGACUGGCAACCCUGCAGCCAACGCAGCACCACGCGACCAACCCUGAUGAUGGAAGAAGGCUCGGAGAAGAUGGAGAAGGAUGAUGCGCUCAUGAAGCUCAGAGAAGAAAGUAGGAGGUGAUCACAGCUACUGCACAGAGAACUGAACUUACCUCAACACGAGAAGAACCAAGGGUGGCCUUUGUUGUCAAUAAACGGCUCCAUCAAUUGAGUUGGCCAACUGGCCUUCCCUAAAAUAAUCCAUAGAAAGAAUUGUCUCCCUGAGCAAGCCGGACCGACGUGGGGGAAGGUUACAUGUGGCUCAGCCCAACAGAGUAUAAAAAUAAACCAACCAGCAAAAUGAGCUUUGAAGAGAGCUUCGACCCAUGUCGUCCUUCCCGUUGACUUGGGACACCCAGUGUCAUGCUGGGCAGCAUCUAGAGGCCAG